rnacentral:lncRNA from 1 species
AAUAAAAAAUGCAAAUAUGAAAAAUUGUGGUUUGGUGAUGGUUAGUUAAUGUGUGUGUUUAUUUAUUUAUGUGUGUGUGUGUGUGUGUGUCUGUGUGUGUGUGCGUGUUUGUGUGUUUGUUUGUCAUCCAACCAUGUUACUAUAUAAAGCACUGAAAAUGAAAGCUUUUCCUGAUUAUUACUGUUUCACUCCAUAGCGAUGUGAGACCUUCACCUCCACCUGUUCCUUUACCUCCCGCUCUGAAAGUCCCGAGCCCCCCUAAAGGAUGUAAAGGAUGCAGGGGAUCUCUUAUCGAGAAAGUGAUGGCACGACAUUCUCAGACAUGGAAAAAGCAGCAAGAAAACUCUUCAAAUUUCAGGUACUAAAAACUAUUGUGUUUACGUUUGUGUAAUGAAAGAAACAUUGUAAAACAGCCAUAAAUGUGUCCUUUAUGUUUGCGUAAAACACAUGCAAAAUACAUUCACCGCAAACUUUUUCAGGUAGUGUUCUAGUAGUAUUAAAAGGUACAACCUUCUUGGCAUUAUGUAACU